rnacentral:rRNA from 1 species
ACGUAGGAGACAAACGUUAUCCGGAGUUACUGGGCGUAAAGCGCGCGUAGGCGGCUUUGUAAGUUAGAGGUGAAAGCCCGGGGCUCAACCCCGGAAUUGCCUUUAAGACUGCAUCGCUUGAAUCCGGGAGAGGUGAGUGGAAUUCCGAGUGUAGAGGUGAAAUUCGUAGAUAUCGGAAGAACACCAGUGGCGAAGGCGGCUCACUGGACCGGCAUUGACGCUGAGGUGCGAAGCGUGGGAGCAAACAGG